UCCACUACUCUAGCCCUAACCCAACCCCAGACUCCAGAACCCUCGCUCUGCCUCUCUCACACUCAGUCCAGAGCUCUUCUCAUCGGGCUCCUGGUCAUCCGUCACUCCCUUCCAGCCACCGCCUGCUACUGCCGCCGUCGGAACUUCCAGCUUCAAACAGCCACCACCUUCUCCCUCACUUCCCCUCCAUCAUGCAGCGGCCAUCGCAACCUUCCUAACCCUCCAUCGCGCUGCUCCCUUGCAAACGUGGAGGCCUCCAUCGCGCAACCACGGUUCUGCCGACGCCAGCUCUGUUCCACCGUAGCCACUGUCCUGUUCCAAAGCCUGUUCGAAGUUGCUCCUUGUCUCGGUCUCUCCCUCUUGCAUGCUCUGUUUAAGACUUUAAGGCUUCUAGCUUCUAGUUUCAAUAGGAAGCAGAUAUAAAAAGCAGACCUUUCAAGUUUGUGUGAGUUGCUGUCCAUGUCCUGGAACCAAAAAUAAAAAAUCAAAGAAAUAGAAAAGAAGCAGGUAGAUCAUAUUUUCAAGUUUCAACUAAAAUUACUACCAGGGUUAUGUCUAUUUGAAAGAAGUUACUUACUUCACAUCAAGCAUGGGUUCAAGGCAUUGGUUUAAGAUAAUCUUUCGAUUAAGAAAAUAAAAACAAAGUAGAUCAAAGAAAUCAAAGGUACAGCACACUUUCUUUGUGUCAAUUUUACCUUCAUUAAUAACUCAUCCUAGUCCAGGAUUUCAUUGUAUGAGAGUCAAAAUGAUUAUGUAAAACUAUGUAGUACCACUAUGUAGAGAGAUUUGAAGUUCAUGUAUGUCUUACUACCAAAAAGGCCGAUACAAAUGUAGUACCACUAUGUAGUAUCACUUUGUUUAUUUAUAUUUUAUUAUAAAACGGUUUUUACGGUUCAACCACGAUUCAACCGGUUGAACCUAUGAACCAGUGAACCAGUAACUAGAAAGAAAUCUCUGUAUACAUGUUGAUCUGUAUACUAUAAUUCUUCUUCUAAAUAACAUCAUGCAAAGAAACUUUUUUUUUUCAA